rnacentral:tRNA from 1 species
GUGAUUGUAGCUCAGUUGGUAGAGCCCUGGAUUGUGAUUCCAGUUGUCGUGGGUUCGAGUCCCAUCAAUCACC